AUGGAGCUGCUCGGAGUUGGAGUUCGCUCUCAGUGCGAGCACCUAUGCUGCCUGGCCCCAAGUGCUGAACCAUGUUCCCCGCAAGGGCUGUCUUUGGAGGAGAUGCGCAGGAGUCUCCAGUCCUCCACCGUCGACAGAUAUGGUGAGUGGACAGAGUCUAGAUGCGCUAAGAAAACUACCCUAGGAAGGAGGUGUCCAGUCCUGUGAUAACAAGGGAGAAAACACUGCAUUGUGUGAUAUCUAGAAAUAAAAGUUGCUUUUAAAUAUUAUAAAACCUUCACUCUGGCCUUUGAAGUCUUUUGUAACUAACUCGUUACCUUAAAGCCUAACAAGGUAAGUGUAAGUGCACGCGAGUGUGUGAAAGUACUCCUAUAAAGUACAACUGUCUCCACGAGAAACAAUCUGUGGCCUCUUGUGCCAUUUCAGACACUUUGUUGUCACAUUAUUGAACCCAUCGCUUCUCAGUCUCAUGUCACGGGAGUGUGGGGAGGAGAAGAAAACAAGGCAUGAAUUUUCAUGAUUGCAUCAUAAGCGUGGGGAGCUCUUCCCCGUUACCCAAGCACCCAAGGGUGAAAUGUAAUUCCACCCUUCUCCCAAAGAGUUGGAGAGGAGGCACGGGAUGGAGGCGCA
rnacentral:lncRNA from 1 species